UUCCUUCUUCACCUUCACUUUCCCCGAUGUGACGGUCAUGGAUGUACAUGUAUUUUUUGAAGCUUUGUUUUUGUAAUAUAUUGAUUUAAUAUUUUAGCGUGUAGAUUUCUUUUUGACCAUUACCAAGGAUUUUCUGGAAACAUGACCCAACACAUUGGCCCCUCUAAGAAAGAUCACCCAUCAAAUCUGAACAACUGGUGUUUUGUCCACAAGAUGGAAAAAGGUUCAGUGUGCUAACAACCCGCUGGGUAAUCCUGGAGUGGUGGUCUACUACCUGUGUCCCCUGAACCAGACACCUCUUCAUGGAGGGAGGAGAUUAACGAUGAUGAGGAACCCAUGGAGGACAACCGACACACACACUGUGUGCCUUAUUUGAGCAUUUUAUACAAUGCCUGUUUUACAUAUUUGGGGGGUUUUAAAGGGCAAUCCCACUAAAGUAAUGCAUGUCUAUUGACUGUUCAGUGAUGAGCAAAUUGGUAAACUGAAGCAAAGAUCAUACCCCAAGACAUAACCUCUGUGGUUAAUGGUAAUAGUGAGAGAUUAGCAUGUCUUGGGGGUAUGAUCUUUGACCCUCUGUAACAUUCUCACUCAUCAUAAUUCACAAUUCAUUCAGGAUUGUCUCUAAUCAUUGUUGUAUCCAUUGUCAGUGGCAUCAUUAGGCCUUGGCUUCCAAUGCUGUUUUUGAUGGUAAAAGAAAAAUGUCAGUCUGAUAUGCGUUUCAAUAAACACACAUCAUUUGCACUAUAGAGUUCUUAAAAAAAAUGUUUUACUGACCAAUUCUUUAAUAAUUAAAUAUACUGCGCUUGGUAGUAGCAGGGACUGCAAGAAGCCCCUGGAGUGACACGGUGUCCGCUGUGAUUGGUCGAGAUAUCACCACGCGGUGGACUACAACGUCCCUUGACCCCACCCCUACAGCACCGGGAAGAUGUAAACGUCAUCACUCAGAAAAACGCCUGUCACUCAGUUAGUCUGCCGCAUAGCAUUAGUGCUCAGCAUCCUUAGGCUAUUGGGUUUCAGUCAGAGUUAUUUAAUAGUAUAUUUAGUGAAUGAGCAAGAUAAGGGUGUUGAUAUAAAUCAUGAUAUUAGGAAAAGCGUUCAUUUCUAGCGAGUGUAUUUGAUUUGAGUUUCGUUUCUUGGCUGAUUAGCUAUUGGCUGGCUAGCUAGCUGAGAUUGAAGAGAUGAGAACGUUUGCUGAUUGAAUCACAUAUCUUUUGACCGUGACACAGUGCUCCCCUGUGGACUGAAGCUGAACUUUACUACAACAUAUUUAACCCUGUUUGAAAUGUGUAAUGUUGAGGUGGGAGAAUUGACGGUGUUCCCCUGCCAGAAUUCUCCCCUUCGUGUAAACGCGCACGCACUCAAUUCUUCAUUGCUGCGACUUGCCUGCUAGUUGAGAAUUCGGAUCAAAUUAGGCAGCGUUUCAUUUGAUUUUUUAAGUCGGUUUGAUCGCGGGGGAGGCACUAGUAAUGUCUGCAGUUUUCGGUUUGGCUAUUUGUUUCAAGUGUAUUAGUCUAUCUAUAAAUCUCUUUGCCAAAAUU